rnacentral:lncRNA from 7 species
CAAAAAUGGAUUGCCAAAGCAUCCACAUCAUCGUCUUUAUUCUCAGCCGCCAGAUCUCCUAGCAACGGCCACGAACCGCAUUAAACGGCUAAAGCAACUUCCUCUUGAUAAUGUUGCUACAACACCCACAAACUGCAUUAUACGAGAUUCUUUCAGAGAGGAAAUGAAGGGCGUUGGGAAAAGAAAAACAAA